UUAAACUUGGGUGCAUAUUAAAGGUCACAUGAAAUAAAGAUUAUUGGUGAAGGUCCCAAGACUUCCGGUUCUUGAAAGACAAUUUUUCUAAAAUUGAACACAAUUUUUCAAGGGGAAUAACUCCUUAUAAGGCUUAGUAACAAAUUAAUUGUUUAUGUUAAUAAACAUUGCCAUCUGUUCUUGUACAUGCUGCAUUUUCAAAUCGAUUCUAUCUGGAAUGAUUUUUAAGAAAAAUGCAAAAGAAAGAAAUUGCUUCAAGGGGACAUAACUCUCAUAGGGAAUGAUGAAAUCCUUAGCAGCCUCAUAUGGUAAUACAUCAUGAUGAGAUCUAACUAUUGUCCAAAUAAAGUCAUGAUAUCUUUUAAAACAUUUAGGGGGGACCAUGUUGAAUAAAAAUCAAUAAAAGGGAGAUAACUUCUAAAGGGGAUGAUGAAAUCCUACAAAAGUUCAUCUGGUAAAAGUUCAUGAUGAGGUCUAUUGAUGGUUCAAAUUUGGUAUUGAUAAUUCUAA
rnacentral:lncRNA from 1 species